CACACACUCAUAUACACACACACACAGUCAUAUAUGCAUACACACACACCAGACCAAUGUUUUUGUGUAAAAUACGACUGACGUGUCGCCUCCUGAACGCAUCACGGAGGCUGAAGAUCCACCCAGACUCUGGUCAUUGUCCCACCCCAUCCAGCCAGGUGCAUUGUGGGUAUCCAGGUAAACACACACCUGACUAUGAACCGUAAAUAUUUUGUUUUCUUCUCGUCACAAACGAUUCAUUCUGACGUCAGAGAGCGAUUCUUAAAGCUCAACAUGUUUACGUGUUUGUGUUUAUUUUAAUGUUGUCAUUGGUUCUCAGGUGUUGAGAUUAAUAAACACGUGUUCUAGAAUCAGAGGUUCUAGACGUCAAAGACACGUUCUAGAACCUUCAAGUCUUCGUGUUCUCGAAUUUGUUUAUUUUAAGGGACAUGAAAUAUAAAAUAUUCUAGAACAGUGAGAAAGAUGUGCUGAAAUGAUUCUAGAACCUCCAGAACGAGAGUUCUCCGUCUCUGUGGAACCUAAAAGCAGAACGUCAAACGUGUUCAACAAAAUGAUUUAGACGAGAUGUCAGAACCACCGACUUAAAUCUGAGUGAAGUGUGUGUGUGGUUCCACGUUCCUCCGUCACGGGACGGUUUUUUAAAACGCGGGACACGUUCCACAGAAUCUAAACGAGUUCUAUACAUCAGAACGUGUGAGGUUCCGACGUGAAAAACACGCAUUCUAGAAUAUUCAAGUCUCUGUGUUCUCGAAUUUGUAGCAGUUUAUUCAAAAGGACAUAAAAUGUGUGAGAGAGGAAUGUGCUGAGAUGACUCUAGAACCCUGUAGAACCUGACGCAGAACGUCAAAUGUGUUGAACCCUUCAACUAAAUGGUUUUGGGAUAAGAUGCGUUCCAGAAAAUCAAAUGGAUUCUAGAGUGUAGAUGGAUGGUUCUAGAAUCAGAACCGAUGAUGUGAAUGCGUGUGGGGUUCCACGUUCUAGUAUCUGAAGCCGUGUGCUUCACGUCAGCAGAGGGUUCUACACAGACGACAGACUCCAGAGCGGAGUUAUCAAACGACCGGCUCUACAGACGGAAACGCUAAAACUAACUUGACAGCAACUUCGGACUUCAACAGAACCAAAAUGUGACGGAACCCACGACCACAGACUCGAAUCAGGAACGUUCUAGAUUCAAACCAGACCGGGACCCAGAGUAAGAGAACCCUCUGAAAUAUGUUUUCCUUUCAGGUGUUCAGGCACAGGAGACGUGGAUCAGGCAACAUGGCUGCUAACGGUGACGUCACCGGUGGGUGGAGCUACAUCAGCUACGAGCACACAGCAUUGUGGGAGAUGGAGUUCCUUCCAUAAACACCUCUGACUGAGUUCUAACGGUUAUGAAGCUGAAACACUCCAUGAAGAAGAGAGAUUCAGCAAACAUCUUCCUACAUGUGACCUGCAGGGAGGCGGGGUCAGCAAACUGCUCUGUGAUUGGACGAGUUCCUUCCAUGUGACCACGUAGACCUUCUGUAUAAAUGCAGAUGGAGACAGACGAUGGUUCAGCUUUCCGUCUUCCCGAAGACCCGGUCCUUCAUGAACCCCCACAGACUCAGACCGGACCAACUCCCAAUCCUCCCCCGCCGCCCCCCCACGGCGGUCUCAAGCGGUCUGAAAUGGUUUCAGGAAAAAGGGGAGGGAGGAGGUCUUCCUGUUCACUUGAAACAGUUCCAGACCUGCUUUGACUCUGGAGCGAAUGAUAUUUGAGGACCUCAGGAUCGGAUCCUCAAAGAGGUUUUAAAACUGAACCAGAUUUAAUUUGUUGUUUUCAAUUUUUAGCCACAUUUCUGUUUAUUAUUGCCACAAAUGUUCCAGGUUAUUCCAAAUAAGACGGGGUCGCUGGUCUUCUUUCGGGAGCUCGAACCAGGAAACUUCCUAACAGGGUCUAAAGAAGUCUGGACACUUAUGAUGAAUAACAGAUGACUCGUCUCGGUCGUACUCGUCCCAUCUCGGUCGCAGUCGUCCCGUCUCGGUCGCAGUCUUCCUGUCUUGAUGUGCUGGAUCCUGCAGCCCACUAUGUUCCUUCUGGGCUGAGCCAGAGUCUUACUGGGACCAACACUGGUCCUCUGUUUCCUGCAGGGAGAGAAGAAGAAAGAGGAGAGAAACCGAUGAAGAAGAGGAGGAUGAGAAGGAUAACUUCACCACAGAGAGAGAAGAAACACCCUGAAACUGUUUUAGUGUUCAGAGGGUUCAUAACUCCAAACAUCUGAUUCCAUCCGUCAGACUUACUUGUGAGAGUUCUUCUUCUUCAUCAUGUUUGCAGAAACGCCAGAAUGUCCUGAAACACACAAACGCAGCAUCCAUCACUGACCAGGUGGUGCGUUCAAGGACGCCUCAGGAAACGUUUUAAUGUGGAAAACAAACCAACUAAAUUCCCAAACAUCACUUAUAACUGACUCACCCCCGUCUGCUCGGGGGGGCCGCGGGGCCCCUGGGCUCUUGAAUGGGGUCUUCAUUCAUCCACCUGUAAGGGGGGCAGCCAGCCAGGCUGCCGGUCCAGACUAAA